UUAUAGUCAAGAAAUCUACCGACAAUGAAUUUUUUCAAGUCAGCAUCUUCAGUUUUAUAUUUCUUGUCUAAAGAUUCUCAAAGUUUCUUUGCAAUUUGAAUUGUACAAUACACAUUAUACAAUGUAAUGUCUAAUCCAUUCAUCACAUAAUUUCUGCAAAGGAAAUCAGCAUGUUUCCAUGCAUCAACCGCGACCACUUUUUCCUUGUCAGUUUCUCC
rnacentral:lncRNA from 1 species